rnacentral:siRNA from 1 species
UGACUAACCUUCGUGUCUUGUGAU